GGGGGAGGGGGAACCUUCAUGGACACACACACACCCGUGGUCUAUAGGAAGCCCCCUGAAGGGGCUACAGCUAUAUGCAGGCAUCUACAAAUCCACUUGCCAGCUAGCCAGUGGCACAUACCCCUAGCCUCUGAGCAGGACACCCAGCAUCACAUUCCUCUGAGCAGGACACCCAGCAUCACACGGAUUUCCUUACCAGUUCCAUUUCCACUGCCAUUUUUGAGAAGGUUGAGGCAGUGACCAGGAGAACGUUUUAUCAGCUUCAGCUGAUACGUCAGCUACACCCAUUUCUGAAGAUCCAAAAGGAAUUCAUAAAAAUUCACACCUGCCCAAGGUAAAGAAGCAGAAAGCAUAUGAAAGCUAGAAUGGUUAUGCAUACAAAAGAACAAGCCUUGCUAAAGAAGGAUCAGCACAAGCACAGCUUCUGCAAAGGGGAGUCUUGCCUCAGCAGCCUCUUCAGGCCAACUAGAGACAGUACCGCAAUACUGAGUUCCAUUUCUCAGAUUCAGAACGCCGGCUGAAGCAGCAGGUUGAUAGUGGAACGGAAGUGCAUUAUCAUUAGCCAAUGCAUAUGGCACUUCACAAUGAACAAGAGGUCAAUUCUCUGCACUAAGGGAAUUGAAAUCCAUCAUUCAACGCAGGAGAAAACAGAGAAGAAAGAGGGAAAUUAAGGCAGUGUAAAGCAUAAUACACCUUCGUUUCAGCUCAGUUGGCGGCGACAAAACACGCUUCCUAAUGAAAUUAGAGUUUCCUCUUCUCUGGAUGUUUUUAAGAAGGACCUGAAAACAUAGCUGUUU